UCCCUUCCCCCACGGCUUUUGUGAGGGGUUGUGGAAGGCGAAGACGACGAGGGAGAGGGGCGCCCGGCGGCUUUUUCUCGCCGCGGCUGCCUCGCACAAGAUGGCCGCGGCGGGAAGCGCCCUGCAGCAGCGGGGAGGCGGCGGGGCUGGCGGGGCUCCAGGCCGGCCGGCCGGGCGGGGAGGACAAAGGCAGCUCGCAUAAUGCAGGCGAAGCCCUGGGAGCCUAUAAAUAACGCCGCCCGCCCCUCGCCUGCCUCCCUUCCCCCCCCUCAGCCGCAGCCUGCGGCUUGCUUUUUAUAAAUACCAAAAGAUGGAAGCAGCCUAAUGCAGUUGGGGGGGGGAAGAGGGGGGGUAAAAAAGAGCAACAAACAACCUCCUCCUGCUUAAAAAAAAAAAAAAAAAAAAAAAAAAAAAGGGGGGGGAGAAAGGCGGGCAAAAGAGCGGCCCGCGGGAGGAGCAGGGCGGCGUCGCCAGGCUCCCCGCCUGGAGCGGGCUGCGCCCCGCCAACGUGCCGGGGGAGCGCGGCGGCCGCUCGUCACACGGCUCCUCGGUUGUUUUUUUCCUUCUCCCGAGCUUCCCCACACCCUCGCCCCGCUACCGCCGAGCUGCUGCGGCCGCUGCCGUGGCUCCUGCCGCCUGCAGCCGGGGAGGAGCCGGCCCGGCCCGAGCGGGGCCGGCCUGAGGCGCCCGCAGCCGAGGGCUCGCUGCCGGGCCGCCAUGGCCCCGCUGAGGUGUUCCUGUUGUGCUUGGGUUUGGGUGUUUUUUUUUUCGUCCUUGGCUUUGGGUUUUCUUUUUUUCUUCAUCCCAAGCAGCUUUUCCUGCAGCUCGCUUCGGGUGGAGGCGUGGGGUUCUGGUGGUUUUGUCUUUCGGAGCUUCGUAAGCCUCGGCGGGGAGCUGCGCCGUGUCCUUCACUGCAUGCUAAAACGAGACAGGGCAGGGCCGGGAGGGGAGCGAGCAAACCCCCCUCGGGGCUGGCACGGGGGGAGGAAGGGGAGGAUGUGAGGAAGGUGAGGAAGAUGAGGUGAGGAUAUGAGGAAGGUGAAGGUGAGGAGGUGAGGAAGGUAAGUGCCGCCGGGCCCCGCAGCUUUGGUUAAACCCGUGCCGUGCUGCGUGCUGAGGCUCCAGCCCUGCCGCCCUGCCAAGGAGGUAAUUUCGCAACAACGUCAGGUUACGCUUUCUUUUUUCUUUUUCUUUUUUUUUUUUUUUUCUUUUUAUUUUUCUCCUUCCCCUUCCCACCCUCACCCCCUUCUUCGGUCUUCAGUGCUUCCUGCACCCCAGGCAGUUCGGAGCAAGCAGCAAACCUGUCUGCACAACACAACACAUCUCCACCAGGAGGGAAAAAAAAAAAAGAAAGAAAAAAAGGAAAACCAAACCCUCCGAACUGCUCGCAGACGGGCUCCCUUCGGGCUCCGGUGCCCCUUGGUGCCAGCAGCCCCCGCGGCAGCCCCGUGGGGAGCACUUUGGCCUCCCGGCAUGGGACGAAAUGGCCGAAGCUGGCAGCACGGAGAUCAGAGCACGGUGUGGAGCCGUGCUUGGGUUUGCAGGGUGGCUUCUGGUGUUCCAUUUCCUAUUUUGAACUGUUGUGGUUUUAUUUUUUAUUUUUUAUUUUUUUUACCACUUGCAUCACGAGUUAAAUCAACGUGUAAAGCGAUUAAGAAAAUUAGCCGAUCGGCCAUUAAAUUCCCUGGGAUUUGAAGCUGACGUUUAAGUAGGUAUCUGGAUAUUAACAAUCUCUGCAUUUUAACUUAAACCUCAAUUUUAGUCUAUUUAACCCUGAAGCAAACUGGCUCUGCCUAACACAGCCCAGGCUUCAAAACAAGUCAGCCAGCCCAUAAUACUGCGGGAGCUCAGACAGCUUUGUCUGUACGUGCGCCUUCCUGUGCCUUUUUCCAGGGCUGUAAUCUCGGUGAGCGCUCGGUCCCCGUUGGGGACGGGUGUCCCCAUGCUGCCAUCGGCGAGCGGCUCCGAUUAGGAGAGGUUCUGGAGCCGGUGCCUGGUGCUGGCAGGGCCAGAUCCUGCUGGGGCGGCGAGCGGGGUACGGCAGCCCCAGUGCAUGGCGUGGGUCCUCAGCACUGCUGGAAAUUGCUUUUGUAAGUGUGAACUGAAACAUUUCUUUACGUUUUCAGGGUUUCUAAAUGACUGUAAUGUUCGGUGUAGUUUAAAAGUCACCAAGGCAGUUGAGACCAGUUGCGCUCCCGGAGUGGGUGGUGUAAUGGCUGAAGCUCGUAUUUGAAAAGCUGAGUGUUCUGGUACAGCGUGUUUAAAUCCCAGAAAGGUCAAACCAGACUUUCAUACCGAGUUAGAUUGACCCUGGUUUACUGCGUGAGACUCUUUAGAGAAAGAAAGAGAUCUUUCAGGGGAAAGGGGAAAAAAAAAAAAGAUUUUUUCCUCCGAAUGGCCUGUGGUGGCUCUCUGCGCAUUCUUAAAGCAGCAGGGUUUGUUCUUGCCCACAGCGUCCCUCCCCUGUAUUGUUGAGACGAAAACUCUUAUGCUAAUUCUUUUAGUGGCUGUUAUCAAUAAGAAGUUGUUUAAUUUCUUUGGCAAAGUGUUGCAACUAAAGCAAAUUAGAUCGAGAGGCAAAGUGAAAUAAAAAAUAUGCAGCUGCUCUGCCAAACAAUGAUCGGGACUGUUUACAGCGAUUUGUUUUAGGCUGGCUUGUACACAGAAUCCUUUAUAUCGAAGGUUUGCAUGUCACAAUCCGUUGCUUGUGCAAGCAGACUAGAUUAAUAGCUUAUAAAGGACAAAAGGGACCUAGGUUCAUCUGGUUAGACUUCCUGCAUUAUGCAGGUCAUAAGAUAUGUGGGAGUUUGUUGAUUUUUCUCAUUGGAGAGAAUUUAACAACAGCAUAGCAGCGUCUUAGGAAAGAGAUCCACAUUUCGUUUUAAAAUGGCCUCUGAGACAGAGUGAAAUAAGAGUUGGCAGACUGCUUCCCUCAAAAUCUACCUGACAGCCUGGGAAUUAAGAUACCUUUUAAAACCGAGCUUUGUCUAGUUUCUGCUUUCAAUGACUGGGCGCUGCUGCAUGUUGUUCUGCUGGACUGAGUGCUCUGUUACCAGGUUUCUGUCCCUGUAGCUGUGUACAGACUGGUAACUGAGCACUUAGCGCUCCCUUUGCAGGCUCGCAGAGCUCCCCUCGGGGCUGGGUUUACCCAUCCUGUCAUCGCUGCCGCUGCAUUUCCCUGUGAACUCUCCAGUUCUUCCCAUUUUGAUCUGGGCAUCUGGAACGGGACAGAGCGUGCAGCAGUGCUGGCACCCGGUGCCAACACAACAGCGUGCUCGGCUGAGGUUUCUGUUACGCAUCCAGGGAUUGCUCCAGCCCGUGCUCAGCUGGUUCUCCCGCAUAGCUCCUAAAAUGCUAUCCAACCUGCUCCUUCCUGGGACACCAUCCCCAUCCCGGCAGCUUCUGCUCUUUGUUCUGUCAGUGGCCUUGCACUUGAAAAGGGCAGUCCUUAGGCAGCGUUCUUGCUUGCGGUGGCUUUUUUUUAUACAUUCUGCUGCUGUUACCAACCAGGUCUGUAGGGGACAUGUAAUUACCGCAGGUUUUCUUCUCAGCUCGUUGAUGAACACUGCUUCUGCCCCUGCUGUAGGAGUGUCCCAGUUCCAGGUGUGUGCGUGCCUCAGUCUUGCUAACACUGAGUCAGGAGGAGAUCUGAUCUACGCCAUCCCGUGCCGCACCCAGUCCGUGGGAGGAGAGCCCAGUUGAGGCGCUGGAAGGGAGCCUGAGGCUCGCUGCAGCGUGCGCCCGCCCUGGUGACUAAAGCACAGCUAUUAAAUAACACGGGGCCCAAACCAGAUAGUUGCAGGACCCAUAAAAGAAAGAUAACAGCUGCAGGACACGGUGAUUACUGCUGCACUUUGAGACGUUGUUAGGUGGUUUUCUUCCAUGUGAUCACGCCGUCUUGGUUUUAUAUUCUAAUCACGUAAAUGCUUCACAGGGGUUGAAGUACGGCAGACAUCUCCUACUAGUGAUACCGCCUUUAUUACCUAACCUGGAAGCUUUUUCUCUCAGCAGCUGAUCUUAAGGAGUUCUGUCCCUGUGGACUUGCAGUAGAAAUCCCCCAGACUCAGCUUCCAGUUCGGCUGAGCAAGCAGAAACAUGCCAGGGGCCGGCUGGGCCUGGCAGCGCCCUUAGGCUGGGCAGAGUCCUGCUGCCUUUCCCCCACAGCUCCUCGCUGCUGCCCGUGCUGCUCUGCUCAGCUGCUCUUCAGCCCCAGACAUGUCUGGGGCUGCUUACCCACCGCCAAAUUUGAUGGAGGCUGGAGGAAGAAGAAAAAUGACAACUACACAGUCACGUCAGACUUAAUUUUAGGAAUCCAGGCUAAAAAUAUCAAAAGAACAUUGAGGAGGAAUACGGACCGGGUAUUUGCCUGUUCAGGUCUUUUUUUUUUUUUGGCGAUGACACUUUUCAUUUCUUCCCAAGUACGGCAGAUCAGACGGCUAGGGAAUUUCUCAGCCAAAAUAUGCAACCUCCUGACAGGUGUCACCUGUGUUCCUGCGUGCUCUGAGGAUGCACGGGAUGCACGUACUGAAUAACCACGGGGAGGUACUGGGCUGCUGUCUUGUUUCGGCUGCCUGGGUACAAAGAGGGAUACCUUCACACCCAACAGGGGAACCAGCAGUUAUUUUAAGAUCCAUACAACUUUUGAUGGACACGUUGGACGUGUGCCAGGGCUGUUUUUUGUUUUUUCUUUUUUUCCUUUUAAACUGCAUCUGUUCAUUUUAUUUCUGGUAGUAUUAUGACAAAGCCAGCUCUGUAAGGUAGGUAGUGAGUGCUUUCAGAGAUCUAAUCAUUCUUGAGCUUUAAAAGAAUGAAAAAGCUGUUUCAACACCUGACUUGCAGAAUGUUUUGUGUUGCUGCUUGCCAUUGAAAUGCAGCUGCUAUUGAAACGCCGUGAUCCCAUCAGUAUGUACAACUGGUUAUUGUUUGGAGUACUUUAAUGCUUACAGAAAUCAUUAAAUAAGAAGGUUGGCAAUUCGAAUCAACGUUUUAAAGCUGUCAAAUUACUAAACAUUUCACUUUGUUGCUUCGUGGCCUAAACAGCGUGGUUUUAUAAAGAAAAAAAAGGAACGUACCAUUUAAAAAAUUCUGACGCUCGCAGAGUUUGCAUCAAAAGCACACAAAGACAGAGAUAAGUGACCUGAGGAGGUAUUUAUGCAUUAAAAUACCCGUGUGUCUGGACACCUAUCAUUAAGCAGCUUUAACGUGAUGCUGGUUGGAGACCCGUGAGCCUUUUUAACAAACGCAGCGCACCGAGGGAACGUCUGGUGAGAAGUGAUGGAGCACCAAACGUUACAGCCAGCAGCGCGACGACAAAGACCAAAUGGAAGGAGUUCAGCUUACACAUCAGAGCAUUUCCUUCUCACUGCCACGGUGCAAACAACCCACGACAUGAGACUAAAGGCGGUUUUGCCCUUGACGUUGUUGCUCCUGUAUCAGCGUGCGAGGAUCCCCGUCCUGAUUUAUUUUUUGCCGGGAGGGUUGGGAGCUCAGCCCCCGUUUUCAGCCGCGCAGGCCAGGCCGUGGGGAAAUGGAUGCCUUGCCAUCCAUCCCGCCUGCAUAGCAGCAGCGCCCAGUUGCUAAGCAGCUGCAGAGCCGGCCUCGCUGCGCCACCAAUCAGCUGUGCUAAGGGAGCAGCACGGGGUCCUCCACGGAGCGGAGAGCAGCCAGCAGCGGCCAUGGUGGAAUUGUUUGCUGAUCGUUUUCUGCCCUGGCUGGCUCGCGGGCCCCCAGCACGAAGGACUAGGAGCGGGAGCAGGGGAGGGCGAGGGAGAGGCAGCAUAUGUGCACAGCGGAGGUUACAAAGGCAGCAGAUCUUAGCAGAGCAGGGGGCACACGCCGAGGAGAAAGAAAUGGGAGAGAGGCCAAAUGCACUGUUCGGAAUAGAAAAAAAAAAAAAAAAAAGGAAAAAAAAAAACAGGAGGGGAGUGCAGCAUAUGGAGAGGGGAAAUAAAGCAGAACUUGCACAGGCUGCGAAUAAUUGAACAGGAAAAUACAGGGAGAGGAAAGGAGCUUGAUUCAUUACUGCCCUUCACCUUGCAGAGACGGCUUCACCCGGGGAAAGGAGGUGUGGAAUACAACAGUUUCACGUUUCUCAAUGGACUAAUUUGGUUGAGAAUUCACACCUCGGUGAGGAACAGAAGACUUGAAACUGCUCCUAAGCACCCACUGCAUCAGGCGGAGACGCUGCUGUGUCGAUUUACACUCUUCAAAUUCAUAGAUUUUAUAUUUUUUUCCACAGCUGCAAAGCCAGGAACUGGGGUUUUAAUCAAAGGUGAGAUCCAAAAUACUGCCCAUGUAUAUAGCAGAUAGUAGAAAUUUGGCCCAUGUAGUUGGCAUCCCUGAUUUAAAGCCUACUGGAGAAAAUAACCCAAGAAACAGAACGCGUUCCCUAUAAAUAGCUGCUCUCUAGGUAGUAAAGCUGUGGUUUGUGAACAAAACCGCUCCAAACUAUCUCGCAGUGCCCAAAUAUUCAUUGCCUGGCUUUGCUGAGUUGCGUGUCUCAUUCGGCCAACGCCUCUGCUACAGACACUUGUCCUGUUUUCUUUCCUGGCCCUCUGAACUCUCUGGUAGCAUGGGGACAGAUUUUGUGCACGUUAUUGAAGGAUUUUUGCUGUGAUUUAGUGCACGGGCUAGUAGAGCCAAGUGAAACAGGAACUAUAUUCCUCAAGCAUGAAAAGGCAGAAAGGGAAUUUUCUUACCGAAAUAUAAUUUUUCCACAUUACUUAAUAGUCUAGAAAGUUAAUAUGUUUUUACUGGAAAACAAAAAUACGGCUCCUACCGAGCCAAACAACAACAUAAUAACGUUUCAGAAACCUCUUAGGACCUGGCAGGUGUCACAGCCACCUUGCCUUCAGUGAAAAAGGCAACAGACCCCUUCUGAAACAAGGGAUUUGCAUCAGUAGGGGCUACUACACAAAAACCAGGCACAUGGCAAGGCCUGAAUAGACGGUGAAUCAUGUGGCCCAAGGGAUUUUUCUGGAUUUUGGGGGCGGGGGUGUGUGUAAAAUAUCAGGCCGCGAGGACCAGAUGGUAGAGCUCUGCAUGUGCAAGAGAAACAGCGAGAAGCACUACAGAAAUGGAUCCUGAGAAGCAGCUGAAAGUCAAGGAGACUGGGCGCUUUGAUUUUGAAAAGAGAUUUCCUGUGCGGAGUGAGGGCCGAAAAAGGCUUGGGGUCGUGAGCAAAAACACAAUUGAAAACAAGAAUUUUGUACAGCUGUUCUGUAAAUAAAUGGAAUUGCCUUGACUACGCA